rnacentral:lncRNA from 1 species
CUCAAGUCACUGCGGUUGCGCCGGCCCUCGUCUGUGAGUCUCUGUCUGCGGCUGGAGGACUUGAUCCAGGCUUCCGUUGCGGCCGUGGGCAAGCGGCCAGGCCCGAGGGGGUGAGCCGGGUCCCCAGGUCAUGGCGGAGCACCCGGCAGGGCCCUGCACGAUCUGGCAGCCGUGGAACCCGAGCACCCUGCCGCGCGUCCUCCCGCCCAGUCCGCCUCGCGCGCCUCCUGCCCGGCGCUGGGCCGGGUGGCAUCUGCGCCGGGGACCAUCUUCUAGUCUCCGCUGGUCUCUUCCUGAAGUAGGAUAGAAGGCGUGAAAGGGGCAGGUGGAAAGGAAAGACGGAGGAAGGACAAGGAAAGAUUUUGGCGUAAAGUUCCGCAUACUUGCCGGGCCUGUCAUCCAGCCUCUCCGGAGGCUGAGGCAGGAGCACCACGAGGAAAAGCCAGCCUCUGCAACUUAGGGACCCUGUCUCGAAAUCAAACUUGAAAGUCCUGGGGAUGUGGCUCAGUAGUUAAGCAACCCUGGGUCCAAUCCCCGGUAUCAAAACGGGUUGGGAUACUCUUCUAGGCCUGUCCCUUCCAAGUCCGUGGGAAAUCACUCGUGGAAUCACCUUGUCAGUGUUCUUGGGCGCGCCGGUAAAUAGGUUCUGCCAAGAGAUGUCACUUUCAGAAAGCUGUAGUCCAUGGGAGUUUGCACGUUUGCUAUGAAGUAGAUGGUGGAGACCACAUCCCUACACACCUCUCACACCCACUUUUCACCAGGUUUGCUCUAAAAGAGCUGGAUCCCCAAAACACUCUCUCACUGCGUUCUCCCUGGAAUGUGUAUUUGCUUUCCUAAAUAGAUCCUCG